rnacentral:rRNA from 1 species
AGAGUUUGAUCCUGGCUCACAUUGAACGCUGGCGGCAUGCUUUACACAUGCAAGUCGAACGGCAGCACGGGAGCAAUCCUGGUGGCGAGUGGCGAACGGGUGAGUAAUGUAUCGGAACGUGCCUAUUAGUGGGGGAUAACGCAGCGAAAGUUGCGCUAAUACCGCAUACGCCCUGAGGGGGAAAGUGGGGGACCGCAAGGCCUCACGCUAAUAGAGCGGCCGAUAUCUGAUUAGCUAGUUGGUGAGGUAAAGGCUCACCAAGGCUUCGAUCAGUAGCUGGUCUGAGAGGACGAUCAGCCACACUGGGACUGAGACACGGCCCAGACUCCUACGGGAGGCAGCAGUGGGGAAUUCUGGACAAUGGGGGCAACCCUGAUCCAGCAAUGCCGCGUGAGUGAAGAAGGCCUUCGGGUUGUAAAGCUCUUUUGUCAGGGAAGAAACAGCAGCUCUAACACAGCUGUGAAUGACGGUACCUGAAGAGUAAGCACCGGCUAACUACGUGCCAGCAGCCGCGGUAAUACGUAGGGUGCAAGCGUUAAUCGGAAUUACUGGGCGUAGAGCGUGCGCAGGCGGUUAUAUAAGACAGGUGUGAAAUCCCCGGGCUUAACCUGGGAAUUGCAUCUGUGACUGUAUAGCUAGAGUGUGUCAGAGGGGGGUAGAAUUCCACGUGUAGCAGUGAAAUGCGUAGAUAUGUGGAGGAAUACUAAUGGCGAAGGCAGCCCCCUGGGAUAACACUGACGCUCAUGCACGAAAGCGUGGGGAGCAGACAGGAUUAGAUACCCUGGUAGUCCACGCCCUAAACGACGCUGACUAGUUGUUCGGGAUUUAUCCUGAGUAACGUAGCUAACGCGUGGAGUCAGCCGCCUGGGGAGUACGGUCGCAGAUUAAACUCAACGGAAUUGACGGG